AUAUGGCUAUUCCUACGGGAGGCAGCAGUUGGGAAUCUUGCACAAUGGGGGAAACCCUGAUGCAGCGACGCCGCGUGGAGGAUGACGGAUUUAGGUCUGUAAACUCCUUUUGCAGGGAAAGACUUAGGACGGUACCCUGAGAAUAAGGACCGGCUAACUACGUGCCAGCAGCCGCGGUAAGACGUAGGGUCCGAGCGUUGUCCGGAUUUACUGGGCGUAAAGAGCGCGUAGGCGGUCUGUUAAGUGUGAAGUGAAAUCUCCAGAGCUCAACUCGGAAACUGCUUUACAUACUGGCAGACUUGAGGAAUGCAGAGGUGAAUAGAAUUCCUGGUGUAGCGGUGAAAUGCGUAGAUAUCAGGAGGAAUACCCAUGGCGAAGGCAGUUCACUGGGCAUUAUCUGACGCUGAGGCGCGAAAGCGUGGAGAGCAAACAGGAUUAGAUACCCUGGUAGUCCACGCCCUAAACGAUGGACGCUAGGCGUAAGAGGUAUCGACCCCUCUUGUGCCGCAGCUAACGCAUUAAGCAUCCCGCCUGGGGAGUACGGCCGCAAGGUUGAAACUCAAAUGAAUUGACGGGGACCCGCACAAGCGGUGGAGCAUGUGGAUUAAUUCGAUACUAACCGAAGAACCUUACCCAGAUUUGACAUCGAUUGCAACACUGAGAGAUCAGUGCCUCUCUCACAAGGAGACAUGAAGACACUUGUUGCAUGGCUGUCGUCAGCUCGUGCCGUGAGGUGUACGGUUAAGUCCGCCAACGAGCGCAACCCUCGUCCUAUGUUGCCAGCGAGUAAAGUCGGGAACUCAUAGGAGACCGCCGGUGUAAAUCGGAGGAAGGUGAGGAUGACGUCAAGUCAGCAUGGCAGUUACAUCUGGGGCUUCACACAUGCUACAAUGGGCGCAACAAAGGGCAGCAAAACCGCGAGGUGGAGCCAAUCCCAAAAAUACGCCCUCAGUUCAGAUUGCAGUCUGCAACUCGACUGCAUGAAGGCGGAAUCGCUAGUAAACGCAGGUCAGCUAUAUUGCGUUGAAUACGUUCCCGGGCCUGUACACACCGCCAUCGUGCCCGU
rnacentral:rRNA from 1 species